rnacentral:rRNA from 1 species
GGGGGGGGGGGGGGGGGGGGGGGGGGGGGGCGGGGGGGAGGGGAGGGGCGGUGCGGGGGCUGAGGGGUGGCGAACGGGUGGGUAAUACAUCGGAAGGUGCCUGGGCGUGGGGGGUAACUGCUGGGAAGAGUAGCUGAUACCGCAUGGGAUCUAAGGAUGAAAGCCAGGGACCUUCGGGCCUUGCGCUACUAGCGCGGCUGAUGGCAGACUAGGUAGUUGGUGGGAUAAAAGCUUACCACGCCGACGAUCUGUAGCUGGUCUGAGAGGACGACCAGCCACACUGGGACUGAGACACGGCCCAGACUCCUACGGGAGGCAGCAGUGGGGAAUUUUGGACAAAGGGCGCAAGCCUGAUCCAGCAAUGCCGCGUGCAGGAUGAAGGCCUUCGGGUUGUAAACUGCUUUUGUACGGAACGAAAAGCCCUCUUCUAAUACAGGAGGGUCAUGACGGUACCGUAAGAAUAAGCACCGGCUAACUACGUG